GUGCUCAUUUUGGCAGCAUGUAUGUUAAAAUUGGAACGAUACAGAGAAUAUCAGCAGGGCCACUGUGCAAGGAUGACAUGCAAAUUCUGAAACUUUCCAUAUUGUU